GCCGGAGUGGUGGAAUUGGCAGACACGCGGGAUUUAGGUUCCCGUUCCGUAAGGAGUGAGGGUUCGAGUCCCUUCUUCGGCA
rnacentral:tRNA from 1 species